rnacentral:rRNA from 1 species
UGGGGAAUAUUGCACAAUGGGCGAAAGCCUGAUGCAGCAACGCCGCGUGAGUGAUGAAGGCCUUCGGGUUGUAAAGCUCUGUCUUUUGGGACGAUAAUGACGGUACCAAAGGAGGAAGCCACGGCUAACUACGUGCCAGCAGCCGCGGUAAUACGUAGGUGGCAAGCGUUGUCCGGAUUUACUGGGCGUAAAGGAUGCGUAGGCGGAUUUUUAAGUGAGAUGUGAAAACCCUAAGCUUAACUUGGGGGACUGCAUUUCAUACUGGAAAUCUAGAGUGCGGGAGAGGAGAAUGGAAUUCCUAGUGUAGCGGUGAAAUGCGUAGAGAUUAGGAAGAACACCAGUGGCGAAGGCGAUUCUCUGGACCGUAACUGACGCUGAGGCAUGAAAAGCGUGGGUAGCAAACAGGAUUAGAUACCCUGGUAGUCCACGCCGUAAACGAUGAGUACUAGGUGUAGGAGGUAUCGACCCCUUCUGUGCCGCAGUUAACACAAUAAGUACUCCGCCUGGGAAGUACGAUCGCAAGAUUAAAACUCAAAUGAAUUGACGGGGUCAUAGCUGUUUCC